UACGGGGGGAGCAAGCGUUGUUCGGAUUUACUGGGCGUAAAGGGCGCGUAGGCGGCCACCGCAAGUCGGUUGUGAAAUCUCUGGGCUUAACCCAGAAAGGUCAACCGAUACUGCGGGGCUAGAGUGCAGAAGGGGCAACUGGAAUUCUCGGUGUAGCGGUGAAAUGCGUAGAUAUCGUAAGGAAGACCAGUGGCGAAGGCGGGUCUCUGGACAGUUCCUGACGCUGAGGCACGAAGGUCAGGGGAGCAAACGGG
rnacentral:rRNA from 1 species